ACUUCCAUUAUUGGACACAGAAAACAAAAGAGCUGGAAGAAGGAUCAUGCAUGCAUUUAGUUACUUCCAUUAUUGCCUUAUUGGACACAAAAGCGGGAAAGACAAUCAGAAAGAGGAGCAUCGUAGAUCACACCUAGUGACUACUUCAAUGUGAUAAAAUAUCAACGCGAAAUCAACUCUGAACUCCGAACUCUGAAGCUGCGUAUAACAGAAGGGAGAAUAUUUUGUGAGAGGAUCUACGGGCAAAAGCUAUGUAAUCUUCUCUUGCACUCUUUCUUCAACCUUGACUUGUUUCUUUCUUGUCCUGACUCCUGAUCAUAUAUAUGUGUGUGACGGUUAAGAAUCCACGAGUUUGAAUACCAGACACCUUGGGCUGCAUGAAUAAUUGAAUAUAUAUCCUCCGGUUGAUUUCAUACGGAACCCACCUCUAGAUUUUGUAAAGCAGUUGGUGCUGGAUGACAGAGUAAUAAAAUUUACUCUGUUUUCUAUCAAAAAAAAAAAAAAUUGAAUAUAUGCCCUUUAGUUGAAAGAUGGGUUAGUGGAUGGCUUUAUAUUUUCAAAUACACUUGACUCUUGAGUCAUUUGAUCUGGAGGCCUUAUUGGAUUCAAUGAGUCCAUGGUAUCUAAUUAUCUAUUGUCUAAAAGGGACUGCAUUCUAAUAAGUGGUCAAUAAUGGCCUAAUUGUAAUCAACUUAUUUUGAAUUUUUGACUCAACCAUCUCAAUUAUAAAAAUCUCUCAAAAAAAAAAGUAAAAUUUAUAUCUAUUUUGUGUUAAUAGUGAUGUAGUGUAUCCUUGAGAGUGAAGUUAUGGAUAUUGGUUAAUUAUAAAUUGCACCUUGAUUAAAAUAUUUACCAUUAAUGCUCUGUUCCUUGAACUAUCCAUUUUUAGCUGUACAAGAUUAGAGUUGAAAGCAACUUUCAACGAGUCGGACAGAGUUAUGUUCAGAAUUGAUUUGAAAAUUAAAAGGAAUGUUUGAACUUGGAUUGUGUUUGAUAAUUUUUUGAAAGAAAUUGAUCGAGUUUGGCUUGAAAUUUUUGAUGUACAUGAAAAGCUUGGUUUGGCUUAUCUUAGUAUCGAAUCCAAGCACAUAAAAUCAAUACUUGGUUUGGCUUGAAAUUGCAUGUUGUAUUAUAUAGAGAUUUUCACCCUAAUUUGUUGCUUUUUUUCCCUUAAUUUCUGCUCUCUAAUAUUCAAGAAAUCUAUUAUGAUGAAUUACGGAUGUGAUUAAAAUCAAUUAUGCCUAUUCAAGAGAUAAGAGUAUUAUAUGUUUGCUAUUUUACAAGAUAAGCAAUAUAAGGAAAGGAAAGAAGCUAAGUUAAGGAAGGAGACUUUAUGUAUAUUUUUAUGAAAUUUACUUGCUUUAUGUGUUUCUGAACAUAUCGAGUCGGACAAUGUGAAAAUUGUGAUUGGAUUGUUAAUAUUUUCGAGUUUGAAGUUAUGUUCGGGUUUGGAUUGAUAGCUAAAUAAACAAGUUUGUACGAGUCUGGUUUGAAUUGAGUUUAAGUCGAGUACCAAAUUGUUUUGUUCGAUUUAUAGACCUAUACAAUAUCUCAAAUUGGAAAGAAUAAAGGUGGAAGGGUAGCAGUGAAACUGACUUUCAUGUGGAAGAAGAAAUAUUUAUGGGGCAAUUCGAGUUUAACUUGAAGUUCUUUACAAGACAGAUGAAACUGUAAUUUAAGCAUGCGGCCAAUUUUAAUAGUUUAGGAUCGAUGCAAAUUGCAAUCUAAGCAUAGUUAAGGGGUGGAAAAUGAAAUUAACCCUGGAAAUAUUUCAUUUUAAAUUAUGCAAUGAAUUGCAAGUUAAAGGUAGUUGAGCGCUGCAAUUAAAAGUUAAGCAGGGUAAAAUGCAAUGUGAGAAUAGUUUGGGGUGUAAAAUACAAUUAGCUUUUUUUGGCCAAAAAAAUGAAACAAAAAUAAAAUUAGAGAGUCUGAGAAAAGAAGAGCAAAUUACCCCGAUAGCUACUAUAUUUUUUGAAUAGUUAAGAUUUCACCACUCAACUACUAACAGUAUGUUUUUACUCGUUGAACUCUCAAAUGUGUAAAUUUUGGGUCAUUCCGUCUGAUUUUAUUGUUAAUUUUGUCAAAUCUAACUAUUAAUAGUAUAUUUCAUAAAUCAUGCUAAUAUGUAGAGUUAACGGUCGAAUCAAAUGGAAUGGUCCAAAAUUUAUAUUUUUGAUAUUUCAGAAGUAAAAAUAUACUAUUAAUAGUUGAGUGACCAAAACUUGACCAUUCGAAAAGUUCAGUGGCUAUUCAGAUAAUUUGCUUGAGAAAAGAAAGUAGGCAACCGUUGGCCCAUGGUUCCACUUUUCAUUGUGCUUAAUUAAUACAUGACAUUUAAAAGCCAAACAAUUGUAACCGUGGGAAGUGAGGUGGCCUAAUUAUUAAAUAAGAUUGAUAAAAGCCUUAUAAAAAAAAGGAGGGGGCCUCGAGAAAACAAAAGAAUGGGAAGGAUCGUGCAUGCAUUUAGUUACUUCCAUUAUUGGACACAAAAGCGGGAAAGACAAUCAGAAAGAGGAGCGUCGCAGAUCACACACACCUAGUGACUACACACCGCUUAAACUCUUUAGCAACGUAAACAAAACGGAGAAAAUUUUGUGAGUGGAUCUACCAGCAAAAGCAUGUGAAACAGCCGCUUCAACUUCAUUAUCCGAUGGGUGAUAUACUAUCCUCAUUGCUCAAGAACGCUUGUGUAUCUAUGUAGCAUUAUCCUUUUUCCCUGAAAAAUGAUAGUUUUAUUAUGCAAUAAGAGAAAAGGUCUAAAAUGGCUGAGUUAGUAGGAAGAGAUGAUGUAGAAUCGUUAGGAAUUGAGUUGUCAGAGUUGGGAAGGAGCUUAAGAGAAUCAUUUCAUACUUGUAAUGCGAGUUUCAGAAGCAUUUCAGCCUUAAGUAAUGGAAAGGAUGAUGAACCUGAUGAAGAACUUGCAUUGCAGUGGGCUGCUAUUGAUAAACUGCCUACUUUCAAACGGAUGAAAUCACCUGUGUUUGAUGAGGAUAGCGGCAAUGAAGCUGAUACUAAAAGAAGACGGGUAAUUGAUGUCACUAAGCUUGGUGCACUGGAGAGGCAUUUGUUCAUUGAGAAGCUCAUUAGGCAUGUUGAGCAUGACAACUUUAAACUGUUGCAGAAAAUCAGGAAGAGAAUUGACAGAGUUGGCGUGCAAUUGCCUACAGUGGAAGUAAGGUACAGCAAUCUCCAUGUAGCAGCAGAAUUUGAAGUUGUUUCAGGAAAGCCGCUUCCAACACUUUGGAAUUCUUUCAAAAGCAUGUUUUCAGAUCUUGCAAGGGUUGCUGGUUUAAAGUCACAAGUAUCGAAGAUCUGUAUCCUUAGUGAUGUUAGUGGUAUCAUUAAGCCAGGAAGAAUGACUCUUCUAUUAGGUCCUCCAGGAUGCGGGAAGACAUCAUUCUUGAAAGCACUUUCAGGAAAUCUUGACAAAUCUCUCCAGGUUACGGGAGAGAUAACUUACAAUGGAUACAAAUUCUCAGAAUUUGUACCCCAGAAAACCUCUGCUUACAUAAGCCAAUAUGAUAUUCACAUUCCAGAAAUGACUGUUAGGGAAACACUAGAUUUUUCAGCUCGUUGUCAGGGUGUUGGGAGUAGAGCAGCUAUAAUGUGUGAGCUCAGUCGAAGGGAGAUAAAGGCAGGAAUUCUCCCAGAUCCAGAUAUAGACACUUACAUGAAGGCAAUUUCUGUUGAAGGGCAAGAUACAACUCUCCAAACAGAUAAUAUUCUGAAAAUACUUGGACUUGACAUAUGCGACAAUACAUUUGUUGGAGACGCCAUGAGGAGAGGUAUCUCUGGUGGCCAAAAGAAAAGGUUGACAACAGGGGAGAUGAUUGUUGGCCCUACAAGAGCUUUAUUUAUGGAUGAAAUUUCUAAUGGACUGGAUAGUUCAACCACAUAUCAGAUAGUGUCUUGCCUUCAGCAGCUUGCACAUAUAACAGAUGCCACUAUACUCAUGUCACUUCUUCAGCCAGCACCAGAAACAUUUGACUUGUUUGACGACAUCAUCUUGAUGUCUGAGGGAAAGGUUGUGUAUCAUGGACCACGAAAUAAUAUUCUCGAAUUUUUUGAGAGUUGUGGAUUUACAUGUCCUGAAAGAAAAGGAGUUGCUGAUUUCCUACAGGAGAUUAUCUCGAGAAAAGAUCAAGCACAGUACUGGUAUCGAAGUGAAGAAACAUAUCUUUACCAUUCUGUUGAUAUGUUAUCAAGGAAAUUUAAUGAAUCUUGUUAUGGAAAGAAGCUUGAAAGGCCAUUCAUGAAGUGCAUGGACUGCAAAAAUGCUAUCAUCUUGAGCAGGUUUUCGGUUCCUAAGUGGGAACUCUUCAGAGCUUGUAUGUGGAGAGAGUUUCUUCUCAUGAAAAGAAAUGCUUUUGUUUAUGUUUUCAAAUCGGUUCAGCUCCUUAUUGUUGCUUCCAUUACUAUGACCGUAUUUCUACGAACACGGAUGGGUGCUGAUGUUCUCCACGCAAAUUAUUACCUGGGAGCUCUCUUUUUUGCUCUCAUCAUGCUUCUAGUUAAUGGAAAUCCAGAGCUGCCAAUGACUGUUGCAAGACUGGGAAUCUUUUAUAAACAGCGAGACUUGUACUUGUACCCGGCUUGGGCAUAUGCAAUCCCAUCUGCUAUUCUAAAGGUUCCUAUCUCUUUGCUGGAAGCUGUGGUAUGGACUUCUUUAACUUACUAUGUCAUUGGAUAUAGCCCUGAGGUUGGGAGGUUCUUCCGCCAACUGAUUUUACUAUUUUCCAUUCACCUGACAUCAAUAUCCAUGUUCCGUUUUAUUGCAUCUGUCUGCCAAACCGUGGUUGCUUCUACAGCAGUUGCUAGCUUAUCGAUAUCAUUUGUCCUGCUGUUUAGCGGCUUCAUAAUCAAUAGGCCCUCUAUGCCAAUUUGGUUGAAAUGGGGAUUUUGGGUGUCUCCAUUAACAUAUGGUGAGAUUGGCCUUGCUUUGAAUGAAUUUCUUGCCCCACGGUGGCAGAAGAUGCUUCCUUCAAACGCAACAAUAGGACAAGAAACACUUGAAAGCCGCGGGUUGAGCUUUGAUGGUCACUUGUUUUGGAUUUCAGUUGGGGCUCUAUUUGGGUUUACAUUGUUCUUCAACAUCGGUUUCAUGUUAGCCUUAACUUUCUUAAAACCCCCCGGCUUUCGCACUAUUAUUUCGAGUGAAAAGCUUUCUCAAAUACGAGGUGACAAAGACUCCACCAUAGUAGGAACUCCACAAAAUUUGAGAAACUCCAUUGGACCUUAUGAAGGCAAAAUGGUUUUGCCUUUUGAACCAUUGACUGUAGUCUUUCAAGAUCUGCAGUACUACAUUGACACUCCAGUGGAAGUAAAGGAGCAUGGAUUUAGCAGGAAAAAGCUCCAACUUCUUUGUGACAUUACGGGCGCAUUCAGACCCGGUGUUCUUACAGCACUUAUGGGUGUAACUGGAGCUGGAAAAACAACUCUUCUAGAUGUCCUUGCAGGUAGAAAAACAAGUGGUCUUGUCAAAGGAGACAUAAGAAUUGGAGGUUUUCCCAAAGUUCAAAAGACAUUUGCUCGGAUAUCGGGUUACUGUGAGCAAACAGACAUUCAUUCUCCACAAAUUACUGUUGAAGAGUCAGUUAUUUUUUCUGCUUGGCUGCGUCUUCAUCCUCAGAUUGAUUCAGUGACUAAAUCUGGCUUUGUGAAGGAGGUCUUAGAAACUAUUGAGCUUGAUCAAAUAAAAGAUUCUCUUGUGGGCAUUCCAGGCGUUAGUGGCUUGUCAACUGAGCAGCGUAAGCGACUUACAAUUGCCGUUGAGCUGGUUGCUAACCCCUCUGUUAUAUUCAUGGAUGAACCUACCACUGGAUUGGAUGCAAGAUCUGCUGCAAUUGUCAUACGGGCUGUAAAGAAUGUGGCUGAUACAGGAAGAACAAUUGUUUGCACUAUCCACCAACCAAGCAUCGAUAUAUUUGAAGCAUUCGAUGAGUUGAUUCUCUUGAAAUCAGGAGGGCGCAUGAUAUACUCUGGACCACUGGGGAGACAAUCCAGUAAAGUUAUAGAAUAUUUUGAGGAGAUCUCAGGUGUGCCAAAGAUUAGAAACAACUAUAAUCCAGCUACAUGGAUGUUAGAGGUCACUUCUACAUCUUCUGAGGCUGAAAUUGGUGUAGACUUUGCUCAAAUUUAUCAGAAUUCUACUUUGUACGAGGAUACUAGAGAACUUGUGAAGCGACUGAGCAUUCCACCUCCUGGUUCAAAAGCUUUGGAUUUUCCAACUCGUUUUUCAUUGAGUGGAUGGGGACAGUUUAAGGCUUGCCUCUGGAAGCAAUUUUGGUCCUACUGGAGAAGUCCCUCGUACAAUUUAGUCCGAUUGCUGCUAAUGCUUAUACAAUCUCUGCUUUUUGGCAUCCUGUUCUGGGAUCAAGGGAAGAAGCUAAAUGAUCAGCAGAGCGUAUUCAAUAUUCUUGGUUCGAUGUUCAGCGCUGUAAUCUUCUGUGGUAUAAACAAUUCCUCUUCAGCUCUGCCAUAUGUCAGCAAAGAGCGCACCGUCCUCUACCGAGAAAGAUUUGCGGGAAUGUAUUCUUCAUGGGCUUGUGCACUUGCGCAGGUUACUAUCGAGAUUCCCUACAUCUUUGCCCAAGCAAUUAUAUACACAAUCAUCACAUAUCCAAUGAUUGGAUAUUAUUGGUCAAUUUAUAAGGUUUUCUGGUACUUCUACUCGAUGUUUUGUACGUGGCUAUACUUCAGUUAUCUAGGCAUGCUGAUGGUUUCAAUCACACCAAGCUUGCCAUUGGCUUCAAUUUUGCUGUCAACUUCUAAUACGUUGCUCAACCUUUUUGCCGGGUUCCUUGUUCCUCGACCGCAAAUCCCAAAGUGGUGGAUUUGGUGCUAUUACUUAAUCCCAACAUCUUGGACUCUCAAUGGUUUGCUUACUUCACAAUAUGGGGAUGUUGACAGGCAAAUUGAGGUGUUUGGAGAAACUAAAACGGUAGCAGAGUUUUUGAGAGAUUACUUUGGAUUUCAUCACAAUCAACUACCCAUAGUUGGUGUUGUGUUGAUUUUGUACCCCAUUACUUUUGCUGCCUUCUUUGCUUGCUGUAUUAGGAAGUUAAAUUUCCAGAAGAGUAGGUUGCAAGAACUUCGAUCAACGUGUACAAACUACAAAGUCUGUAUUCCUCUCUACCUGCCUAGGUUAGUGAAGAGGUGAAUUCUGAUCGGCUGGAGUGAACUGAGAGCUGAAAGCACUGCAGCUGAAGAGGUCACAGCGGGCUUGGUCACCUGCUUAAAUUACAAGGGGGGCUGAAUCCCCCGGUAGAACUCCGAAACUUAAGUCAGUUCGGGAUUGGGAAAAUAGCUUAAUAGAGAGAAUCAGUGUAUGGUUUUUAUCAGGAAAAUUGGUCAUCCCCUUUCUCAGUAGAAGCCUUGAGUAUUUAUAGAGGAUGGACAGGAAAGAGGGACUGCUGGCACGGGUCCCUAGAGAUCUGGCAGGGUCAGCGCAUCAAGGUGAUUUGAUGGGCUCUGCGGAAAGGUGCGCCGGAACAGUCAUGUGUCAGGCGGCGCAUGUCAGAGCAGCUUUAUCAGAGGUGUCAGAGGUCAUGUUCCACAACUCCGGUUGUCAGGUCGUUAUACUUCAUUUCGGCUUUGUGAGGGAAAGCCUUGGCCGAGGCGGUAACUGGGCCGAAGUCAAUUCACGAUGGUGAUAGGCCGAGGCGGUCGAAACAGAGGUACCACAGGACAGGGCCCCAGCGCUAUCUGAGCUGGAGAUACCCUCCUCACUAAGCCCCCCAAGCCUUGGGAAGGGCGGGGUCGUUGCUUUCCGAGGUAGCUACUUCCCGAGGCUGACAAGAGUGUAGAACACGGAAUACAGUAAGGACACGUCAUGACUGCGCGGAUGGGACUGGGAAGGAAGUGAAAUGAUGGCUGUCAGCCUUAAUGUCAGAUCCAGGGAUGGACGUGAAAUCAACGGUCAGAUGAACAGUCCCCCCAUUAAUGAGGAGAGAAGUCGUGUCCUCGAGGAUGCCAAAGCAAUGGCUAGGACAGCACGCACCCACAAAGAGACGGUGAGGCCCGACUUCACCGAAGCAGAGAGGCCAGAUCCUUCCGAGGAGAGAACCGCUUCUGAGGCCGGGGAAGGGGGGGCCGAAGCGUCUCAUCAGGUCGGGACACCCCAGGAACAGAGCGAGGAAACCGAGGUCGAAGCGGAGGUCCUCUAUAACGAUGACCUCUGAUAGGGAGUAGAACAAAAAUAUGAUAAUAAGUACCAAUUUGGCAGAAAAGGAGCCCAAGUGAUAGAGCCUGCCCCAGGGGCAUUUUUCGAAAAGAAGAU